AUUGAACGCUGGCGGCAGGCCUAACACAUGCAAGUCGAGCGGUAACAGAGAGUAGCUUGCUACUUUGCUGACGAGCGGCGGACGGGUGAGUAAUGCUUGGGAAUAUGCCUUAUGGUGGGGGACAACAGUUGGAAACGACUGCUAAUACCGCAUGAUGUCUACGGACCAAAGUGGGGGACCUUCGGGCCUCACGCCAUAAGAUUAGCCCAAGUGGGAUUAGCUAGUUGGUGAGGUAAUGGCUCACCAAGGCGACGAUCCCUAGCUGGUUUGAGAGGAUGAUCAGCCACACUGGGACUGAGACACGGCCCAGACUCCUACGGGAGGCAGCAGUGGGGAAUAUUGCACAAUGGGCGCAAGCCUGAUGCAGCCAUGCCGCGUGUGUGAAGAAGGCCUUCGGGUUGUAAAGCACUUUCAGUAAGGAGGAAAGGUUAAGUGUUAAUAGCACUUAGCUGUGACGUUACUUACAGAAGAAGCACCGGCUAACUCCGUGCCAGCAGCCGCGGUAAUACGGAGGGUGCGAGCGUUAAUCGGAAUUACUGGGCGUAAAGCGUACGCAGGCGGUUUGUUAAGCGAGAUGUGAAAGCCCCGGGCUCAACCUGGGAACUGCAUUUCGAACUGGCAAACUAGAGUGUGAUAGAGGGUGGUAGAAUUUCAGGUGUAGCGGUGAAAUGCGUAGAGAUCUGAAGGAAUACCGAUGGCGAAGGCAGCCACCUGGGUCAACACUGACGCUCAUGUACGAAAGCGUGGGGAGCAAACAGGAUUAGAUACCCUG
rnacentral:rRNA from 1 species